rnacentral:lncRNA from 1 species
AUAGGAUUAAGAAUUGUAAAAAAUUAUAUUAUUUAUGAUGGUACGUUUAAAAUGGAAAAAAUACAAAAAGAAAAAAAAAAAAUGUACUGUUUUUAUUUGUUAUACUAUCCAUUUAUUCUUGUUAUUUUUUUCUGUUUAUCAUUCUUUGAAUUCUUUCUUUUAAUAAUUAAAUAUUUUUAUGUACAUUUUAAUUUUAACAGAAGAUUUGAAUCUAUUUAAUUGUUUAGAAAUAUACCAACAAAUUUUUAAAAGUACCAUAGAAAAUAUAUUUUCGGACAAUUUGCAAUUAUUUGAGUUAUCUAGAGAUAUAUUAAAUUUUUUUUGGUUUUCACAAAAUGAUGAAUUAAAAAAAAAUCAUUUGAAAUCUCACUUAACCAUUUAACAGCUUUAUACUCAUCAAAUAAACACAUAAUGAGUGUUAAAACA